UUCCUUCUUUUUUUUUUUUGUUUCAUUUUAUUAUAAUUUAAAAUUAUUUAUUUAUUUAUUUAUUUUAGGUGUCUACAAUGAGAGUCUAUUUUUUAAUUGAAACUAAAGCUUUACAAGAUAAACCCACAACGUCAUGACACUGAACUCAAAGUUAAUGGAUGCUUUGAUUGUUGAGUGCAGGCCAGAAACUUCUUAGCAGAUGAAUUCGAUCCUAUAUUUCCACAAAAUACCAAUCAAAUUGCCAGAUUAUGAUGCUAGAAUGUAAAAGGUAGAACAUGAAAACUGCAAAACUUGGAUAGUGAAGUAGACCCCCAUGAAUUUUAUCAUUUAUUUCUCAGGAAAAUGUAGCUAUACAAGCAGAUCUGCUGUCUCUAACGAUAUCCCAUAAAAUUAGAAGAAAGCAGAGUCGUAAGUAUGCUACUGAUCAAGCAACAUUUGCAGGACAUACAUGGUAUAUUAAAAUACCGUUUUCUUAUUUCAGUACAAGGCAAUACUUUAAGGGUGGAGAAGGCAGCAUUUCCAUGUAAACUCAGAUAAAUUAAGGAAGUUACAUACAAUUACUUGAGCAGCAGGGAGGAACAGAAGAAAGAAAAUGGAGUAUAUAUCGUUUCAGCCAAAUUGCAGUUUGCAUUUUCACUCUGCCUUCACUUCCUUCUCUGCUUUCUGUUCCUUGGCAUCCUUCACCUUUGGUUUCCCUUGCUUGGGCUUCAUGAAGCAGAAACAAGAGCAGCAAGGACACUGAAACAAGAACUUCAUGGCUUCGCUUUUUUUUUUCUUUUUCUUUUUUGGCUUUGCUAGGUUUCCAAAUGCCCAAAAAAUCUUAUGUACAGAGAGAAGAAAGAAAUGUCAAGCCUUUCUAUCUUGUUUCCUGACUCAUAACGUUGUUUAUAUUAUCCAACAUUUUGCAAUUACCCCAUUG
rnacentral:lncRNA from 1 species